AGUGAACGCUGGCGGUAGGCCUAACACAUGCAAGUCGAACGGCAGCACAGUAAGAGCUUGCUCUUACGGGUGGCGAGUGGCGGACGGGUGAGGAAUACAUCGGAAUCUACUUUUUCGUGGGGGAUAACGUAGGGAAACUUACGCUAAUACCGCAUACGACCUACGGGUGAAAGCAGGGGAUCUUCGCACCUUGCGCGAUUGAAUGAGCCGAUGUCGGAUUAGCUAGUUGGCGGGGUAAAGGCCCACCAAGGCGACGAUCCGUAGCUGGUCUGAGAGGAUGAUCAGCCACACUGGAACUGAGACACGGUCCAGACUCCUACGGGAGGCAGCAGUGGGGAAUAUUGGACAAUGGGCGCAAGCCUGAUCCAGCCAUACCGCGUGGGUGAAGAAGGCCUUCGGGUUGUAAAGCCCUUUUGUUGGGAAAGAAAAGCAGCAGGUUAAUAACCCGCUGUUCUGACGGUACCCAAAGAAUAAGCACCGGCUAACUUCGUG
rnacentral:rRNA from 1 species